CUCGUAGGUGGUUGCGUAAGUCGGAUGUGAAAACUCAGGGCUCAACUCUGAGACGCCAUCCGAUACUGCGCUGACUUGAGUCCGGUAGAGGAGUGUGGAAUUCCUAGUGUAGCGGUGAAAUGCGCAGAUAUUAGGAGGAACACCAAUUGCGAAGGCAGCACUCUGGGCCGGUACUGACACUGAGGAGCGAAAGCGUGGGUAGCAAACAGGAUUAGAUACCCUGGUAGUCC
rnacentral:rRNA from 1 species